ensembl:miRNA Mir7033 microRNA 7033
UUUAGUCUCCAGGAGUCUGAGGGGCAGGGUCGUCUCCAGCAUCUUGGGCUUGGCCUAACCUGCCUCCGUUCUCUUGGGCAG